rnacentral:rRNA from 1 species
CCCGGGGGGGGAUUGCCCUCAGUAACGGCGAGUGAGCGGCAAAAGCUCAAAUUUGAAAUCUAGCACCUUCGGUGUUCGAGUUGUAAUUUGAAGAUGGUAACCUUGGGUUUGGCUCUUGUCUAUGUUCCUUGGAACAGGACGUCAUAGAGGGUGAGAAUCCCGUCUGAUGAGAUGCCCAUUCCUAUGUAAGGUGCUAUCGAAGAGUCGAGUUGUUUGGGAAUGCAGCUCUAAGUGGGUGGUAAAUUCCAUCUAAAGCUAAAUAUUGGCGAGAGACCGAUAGCGAACAAGUACAGUGAUGGAAAGAUGAAAAGAACUUUGAAAAGAGAGUGAAAAAGUACGUGAAAUUGUUGAAAGGGAAGGGCAUUAGAUCAGACUUGGUGUUUUACGAUUAUCUUCUCUUCUUGAGUUGUGCACUCGUAUUUCACUGGGCCAGCAUCGAUUCGGAUGGCAAGAUAAUGGCAGUUGAAUGUGGCUUCACUUCGGUGGAGUGUUAUAGCUUCUGCUGAUAUUGCCUGUCUGGAUCGAGGGCUGCGUCUUUUGACUAGGAUGCUGGCGUAAUGAUCUAAUGCCGCCCGUCUUGAAACACGGACCA